rnacentral:rRNA from 1 species
UACGUAGGGUGCAAGCGUUGUCCGGAAUUAUUGGGCGUAAAGGGUGCGUAGGUGGCGCCGUAAGUCAGGUGUGAAAUUUCGGAGCUUAACUCCGAAACUGCAUUUGAUACUGCGGUGCUUGAGGACUGGAGAGGAGACCGGAAUUUACGGUGUAGCGGUGAAAUGCGUAGAUAUCGUAAGGAAGACCAGUGGCGAAGGCGGGUCUCUGGACAGUUCCUGACGCUGAGGCACGAAGGUCAGGGGAGCAAACGGG